rnacentral:rRNA from 1 species
AACGAACGCUGGCGGCAUGCCUAACACAUGCAAGUCGAACGAGACCUUCGGGUCUAGUGGCGUACGGGUGCGUAACGCGUGGGAACCUGCCCUUAGGUUCGGAAUAACUCCCCGAAAGGGGUGCUAAUACCGGAUAAUGUCUUCGGACCAAAGAUUUAUCGCCUUUGGAUGGACCGGCGUUGGAUUAGCUCGUUGGUAGGGUAAAAGCCUACUAAGGCGACGAUCCAUAGCUGGUCUGAGAGGCUGAUCAGCCACACUGGGACUGAGACACGGCCCAGACUCCUACGGGAGGCAGCAGUGGGGAAUAGUGGACAAUGGGCGGAGGCCUGAUCCAGCAAUGCCGCGUGAGUGAUGAAGUCCUUAGAGUUGUAAAGCGCUUUUACCCGGGAUGAUAAUGACAGUACCGGGAGAAUAAGCUCCGGCUAACUCCGUG